UUGGGAGUGACUGCUGAUGCUCCUUCUCAUCACAAGAAAGGAAAAGAAAGGUGGAAGUGAUUUAGACCAUAAAGCUCAUGGGGGAAGUAAAUGUGGGUGCUUCUUUUUUCCUCUCACCACCAGAAUUGUGACUAGCUGCUUCUGUAUGAUCCAAAUCACCUCCCUCCCUUUCCUUUUCCCCAGAAGUAAACAACAGUGGCAGGAGGAUCCAGAGCUGCAUAAACAUGCUGUGUGGCCAUGUUCCAGAAGUAUUCUCUCCUGACGUUUCGCCCACAUCUAUGGCAGGCAUCCUCACAGGGUCCACUUGACCAGGAACCACUUUGAACAGGGAACACUUUGACCAGAGACCACUUGACCGUGGACCACUUGAUCACUGCCCACAGUUGGUCAGGAUGUACUGAAUUCUACAAUGAAAAAUGAGCCCAAUUGUAAAGGUAAGUGAAGUCUCAUUAUUGCAAGUGAUAGUGACACACUCCAUAAAUAAAUAGCUGAACUUUUAUAUUUACAAAUGAAAAACGUCCAUAUAAUUGUGUAUGAUGGUGGCUAAUUUUAGUCAGUUAUCUUUAUCAAAUCUGUUUUACUUCUUUAGUCUGAAUCAGAGACCAUUCAUUUAUGAGAUAUGAUUUUUCCCCUCCUUAGCCUGCAUAAUACAAUUUAUUUAUGAGAUCUGACUUGAUAGAAGGACAAUGUGUAGUACAGAAUGCAAGGGUGACAGGUCCCUCAAUCUUCCCUGUCACAUUCUUUAUACAUGAUUUGGUCAAGGCUACAGAACUAUAAUGUCUUAUCUAUAAUAUGAUAGAAAAAACUGAACUGUGUUCAGCUGUG